rnacentral:rRNA from 1 species
CCUACGGGUGGCAGCAGUCGAGAAUCAUUCACAAUGGGGGAAACCCUGAUGGUGCGACGCCGCGUGGGGGAAUGAAGGUCUUCGGAUUGUAAACCCCUGUCAUGUGGGAGCAAAUUAAAAAGAUAGUACCACAAGAGGAAGAGACGGCUAACUCUGUGCCAGCAGCCGCGGUAAUACAGAGGUCUCAAGCGUUGUUCGGAAGCACUGGGCGUAAGGCGUGCGUAGGCUGUUUCGUAAGUCGUGUGUGAAAGGCGCGGGCUCAACCGGCGGACGGCACAUGUUACUGCGAGACUAGAGUAAUGGAGGGGGAACCGGAAUUCUCGGUGUAGCAGUGAAAUGCGUAGAUAGCGAGAGGAACACUCGUGGCGAAGGCGGGUUCCUGGACAUUAACUGACGCUGAGGCACGAAGGCCAGGGGAGCGAAAGGGAUUAGAUACCCGGGUAGUC